GUCGAACGCUGGCGGCGUGCUUAACACAUGCAAGUCGAACAGUCGCGGACGGGUUAGUAAUGCUUGGGAAUCUGGCUUGUGGAGGGGGAUCCCGACGGGCAACUAUCUCUACUACCUCUUCCCAUAGCCUGGGCCCGAGUCGGAUUAGGUAGGUGGUGGGGUAAUGGCCUACCAAGCCGACGAUCUCUAGCUGGUCUGAGAGGAUGACCAGUCACACUGGAACUGAGACACGGUCCGGACUCCUACGGGAGGCAGCAGUGGGGAAUAUUGCGCAAUGGGGGAAAGCUGACGCAGCCAUGCCGCGUGUAUGAAGAAGGCCUUCGGGUUGUAAAGGUCUUUAGGUGACGAGGCGUUAAUCACAGAAGAAGCACCGGCUAACUCCGUGCCAGCAGCCGCGGUAAUAC
rnacentral:rRNA from 1 species